rnacentral:rRNA from 1 species
GCUUAUUUCUAGAGAUAGAAGUUACUUCGGUACAUCGGUGACAGGUGGUGCAUGGUUGUCGUCAGCUCGUGUCGUGAGAUGUUGGGUUAAGUCCCGCAACGAGCGCAACCCCUAUUGUUAGUUGCCAUCAUUCAGUUGGGCACUCUAGCGAGACUGCCGGUAAUAAACCGGAGGAAGUGGGGAUGACGUCAAAUCAUCAUGCCCCUUAUGACCUGGGCUACACACGUGCUACAAUGGUUGGUACAACGAGUUGCGAGUCGGUGACGGCGAGCUAAUCUCUUAAAGCCAAUCUCAGUUCGGAUUGUAGGCUGCAACUCGCCUACAUGAAGUCGGAAUCGCUAGUAAUCGCGGAUCAGCACGCCGCGGUGAAUACGUUCCCGGGCCUU